GACAGAGGGUGCAAACGUUGUUCGGAAUUACUGGGCGUAAAGCGAGUGUAGGCGGUCUGAAAAGUCAGGUGUGAAAGCCCUGGGCUCAACCCAGGAAGUGCACUUGAUACUGCCAGGCUAGAGUAUCGGAGAGGUUGGUGGAAUUCUCGGUGUAGAGGUGAAAUUCGUAGAUAUCGAGAGGAACACCGGUGGCGAAGGCGGCCAACUGGACGAAUACUGACGCUGAGACUCGAAAGCGUGGGGAGCAAACAGG
rnacentral:rRNA from 1 species